rnacentral:rRNA from 1 species
GAACGGGUGAGUAACACGUGGGUGAUCUGCCUUGCACUCUGGGAUAAGCUUGGGAAACUGGGUCUAAUACCGGAUAGGAACCGUCUUUAGUGUGGUGGUGGAAAGUUUUUUCGGUGGAGGAUGAGCUCGCGGCCUAUCAGCUUGUUGGUGGGGUAAUGGCCUACCAAGGCGACGACGGGUAGCCGGCCUGAGAGGGUGGACGGCCACAUUGGGACUGAGACACGGCCCAG